UGUUAGUGGCUUAGCAGAAAAUUUAUUAGGGAUAAGCUUAAUAUUUUAUUAGUUAUAUAGUUUUGUUGAUAAGAUUAUGAUAGGAUUAAUAGUGUCUUUAUGUUUUAUAACUUANCUAUAAUUUUUAUAUAUUAAUUAAGUAUAUGAGGGUAUCUUAAAAUUUUUUUUGUUAGUAAUAAUGGUAGAAUUAGUAGAUGAGAAUUAGGUUAAGAUAUAGAUGAACUAUUUGUUGUAAUAUCUCUUUUUAAAAAAUUUGGUAAGGAACUCGGCAAAAAUCAUUCUUAACUGUUUAUCAAAAACAUUUCUUUAAGUAAGGAUUUAAAGUAUACUCUGCCCACUGAUAUAUUUUUAUUAAAUGGCCGCAGUAGCCUGACUGUGCUAAGGUAGCAUAAUCAUUAGGUUCUUGAUUGGGAUCUGGAAUGAAGGAGUGAAUAAGGAGGAGCUGUCUAUCAAUAUGUUUUGAAUUUAAAUUUUUAGUAAGAAUGCUAGAAUGAAUUAGUGGGACGAUAAGACCCUAUAAAGCUUUACUAACUUUUAGUGGAAAUUUUUACUACUUUUAUGACUAGGUUUAGUUUUGCUGGGGCGGUAGCUAUUUAACAUAGUUAAAUUUUAUUUUNUUAGGAUCCAUCAUUGAUGAAUUAAGAUUAAGUUACUUUAGGGAUAACAGCAUAAUAUAUCUAUGGAGUUCUAAUCGAAGGAUAUGGUUGUGACCUCGAUGUUGAAUUAACCUUAUUGUAAGGUGUAGAAGCUUUAUGAGUUAGUCUGUUCGACUAUUGAAGGGUUACGUGAUUUGAGUUCAAACCGGUUUAAGCCAGGUUGGUUUCUAUCUACUGAGUUUAAAAAGUCUUUUAGUACGAAAGGACCAAAGAUUUUAGAUUUUCUAUUUAAUAUAUUUUUGACUAACUUUAGGUGUUG
rnacentral:rRNA from 1 species